CCCCUCUCAGGGUCACAUCUGGAUAGUUUCCAGUACUCUACCAGCCUUGGCUAUGGGAGGGAGAGUCAAGCAGAGACAUACCAAUUCCAUUUCCAGCUUGGCCAGUGGCUAGCAAGUUGAAGGCAAUUUGCUACAAAU